rnacentral:misc_RNA from 1 species
GUGAAUCAUCGAAUCUUUGAACGCACCUUGCACCCUUUGGUAUUCCGAAGGGUACGCCCGUUUGAGUGUCAUUGUAAUCUCACAUCAACAAUUUUUGUUGUGGAUGGUGGAAUUGGACGUCUGUCGUGUUACAUGACUCGUCUGAAAUGUAUGAGUGUACCCUGCCUUGCAGCGUAUCCAGUGUGAUAAGCAUCUUCACUGGUUCAGCCUUUACAGGCGACGCCUUGGCCACAGGUAGUAUGCUUCUAACCGUCCUUAUGGACAAUACCUUGACAAUUUGACCUCAAAUCGGGUGGGACU